rnacentral:misc_RNA from 1 species
GAUGAAGAACGUAGCGAAAUGCGAUAAGUAGUGUGAAUUGCAGAAUUCAGUGAAUCAUCGAAUCUUUGAACGCACAUUGCGCCCCUUGGUAUUCCAUGGGGCAUGCCUGUUCGAGCGUCAUUUGUACCUUCAAGCUUUGCUUGGUGUUGGGUGUUUGUCCUGAGGGACUCGCUUUAAAGUAAUUGGCAGCCAGUGUUUGGUUUUGAAGCGCAGCACAAGUCGCGAUUCAAAGCUAUACGCCCGCUUCCACAAGCCUUUUUCACUUUUGACCUCGGAUCAGGUAGGGAUACCCGCUGAACUUAAGCAUAUCAAUAAGCGGAGGA